GAUGAACGCUAGCGGCAGGCUUAACACAUGCAAGUCGAGGGGUAUAGGGAGCUUGCUUCCUAGAGACCGGCGCACGGGUGCGUAACGCGUAUGCAAUCUACCUUUUGCAGAGGGAUAGCCCAGAGAAAUUUGGAUUAAUACCUCAUAGUAUGUGAGAAUGGCAUCAUUUCACAUUAAAGUCACAACGGCAAAAGAUGAGCAUGCGUCCCAUUAGCUUGUUGGUAAGGUAACGGCUUACCAAGGCAACGAUGGGUAGGGGUCCUGAGAGGGAGAUCCCCCCAACUGGUACUGAGACACGGACCAGACUCCUACGGGAGGCAGCAGUGAGGAAUCUUGGACAAUGGGNGCAAGCCUGAUCCAGCCAUGCCGCGUGCAGGAAGAAGCA
rnacentral:rRNA from 1 species